rnacentral:rRNA from 1 species
UGGUCAAGUUAUUAAGGGUGCAGGGCGGAUGCCUUGGCACUAGGAGCCGAUGAAGGACGUGAUAAGCUGCGAUAAGCUUCGGGGAGUUGCACGUAAACUUUGAUCCGAAGAUUUCCGAAUGAGGAAACUCACUUAGAGCAAUGUCUAAGUAUCAUUAAGUGAAUACAUAGCUUAAUGAGGGGAACUCAGGGAACUGAAACAUCUAAGUACCUGAAGGAAGAGAAAGAAAUUCGAUUCCGUAAGUAGCGGCGAGCGAACGCGGAUUAGCCCAAACCAAUAAAGUUUUCUUUAUUGGGGUUGCGGACAUAUCAUAACGAAGAGGUAUCGUAAUUGAAGAGGUUUGGAAAGACCCACCACAGAAGGUAAUAGUCCUGUAUGUUAAACGAGAAGACUUUAGAUAUGAUCCAGAGUACCACGGGACACGUGAAACCCUGUGGGAAGCAGGAGGGACCACCCUCCAAGGCUAAAUACUACCUAGUGACCGAUAGCGUAUAGUACCGUGAGGGAAAGGUGAAAAGAACCCCGGGAGGGGAGUGAAAUAGAACCUGAAACCCUGCACUUACAAGCUGUGGAAGCACAUUUCUUGUGUGACCGCGUACUUUUUGUAGAACGGGCCAACGAGUUACGUUAAGUAGCAAGGUUAAGCACUUAAGGUGCGGAGCCGUAGCGAAAGCGAGUUUUAACUGAGCGUUCAGUUACUUGACGUAGACCCGAAACCGGGCGACCUACCCAUGAGCAGGAUGAAGCGAAAGUAAAAUUUCGUGGAGGUCCGAACCCACGAGCGUUGAAAAGCUCGGGGAUGACUUGUGGGUAGCGGUGAAAUUCCAAUCGAGCCCGGAGAUAGCUGGUUCUCCCCGAAAUAGCUUUAGGGCUAGCCUCAAGGUGAGAGAUACGGAGGUAGAGCACUGAAUGUCCUAGGGGGUAUUGCACCUACCGAAGACUAUCAAACUCCGAAUGCCGUCAUCUUAUACUUGGGAGUCAGACUGUGGGUGAUAAGAUUCAUAGUCGAAAGGGCAACAGCCCAGAUCGUCAGCUAAGGUCCCUAAAUGUAAGUUAAGUGGUAAAGGAUGUGGGAUUGCACAGACAACCAGGAUGUUGGCUUAGAAGCAGCCACUCAUUCAAAGAGUGCGUAAUAGCUCACUGGUCGAGUGAUCCUGCGCCGAAGAUUUCCGGGGCUAAAACUUACUACCGAAGCUACGGCAUCAGUAAUGAUGGGUAGGGGAGCUUCCCAUACGGGUUGAAGCAUGACCGUAAGGACAUGUGGACAGUAUGGGAGUGAGAAUGUUGGCAUGAGUAGCGAGAUGUGGGUGAGAAUCCCACAGGCCGUAAACCCAAGG